UUGGAGGGCAAGUCUGGUGCCAGCAGCCGCGUGUAAUUCCAGCUCCAAUAGCGUAUAUUAAAGUUGUUGCAGUUAAAAAGCUCGUAGUUGAAUUUCGGAGUUUGUCGGUUGGUCGGGCUUCAUUGUCCGCACUGGCCUGAUGGAUUCCUACCUUCUGAAUAACCAGCAUGCUAUUAAGUUAGUGCGUUGGGGAAGCAGAGCUAUUACCUUGAAAAAAUUAGAGUGCUUAAAGCAGGCUUAUGCUUGAAUAGAUUAGCAUGGAAUAAUAAAAUAGGACGGCAUGGUUCUAUUUUGUUGGUUUCUAGGAUCACCGUAAUGAUUAAUAGGGAUAGUUGGGGGCAUUAGUAUUCAAUUGUCAGAGGUGAAAUUUUUGGAUUUAUUGAAGACUAACUUCUGCGAAAGCAUUUGCCAAGGAUGUUUUCAUUAAUCAAGAACGAAAGUUAGGGGAUCGAAGACGAUCAGAUACCGUCGUAGUCUUAACCAUAAACUAUGCCGACUAGGGAUCGGACGAUGUUAAUUUUUUAAUGACUCGUUCGGCGCCUUACGGGAAAC
rnacentral:rRNA from 1 species